rnacentral:lncRNA from 1 species
CUCAUUUUAUAAGCAAAGGAAAUGAUGCACAGAAAUGUUUAGCAACUGUCCAAAGUCACACAGCAACAAGGAGGCAGAACUGGGCUUGGAUCCCAUGCAGAACAGCAUGAAGACCUUUGUUCUCUAUCUGGUACUGGGAUGGCUCUAUGCUUGGAAGUGGCCAAGAGCUUGGACACUGGGGUCCGAGAGUUCUGGGUUCAUCCUCAGAGUCUCUUCUUUGUAACCACAACAUCUCAGAUGUCACCUAAGCCACAUCGAGUAUGGCAGGCCACCACAGCCAGGCCACACCAGCCACUAGGCAGGUGCAGGGGCCACAGUUCCAAGGUCUUUUUCUAAAGACACACCAUCACUUCCUUCCUAUCAAAUCAACUUCCGAGACUGAGAACAGACAAAAGGAUUCUUCCAGCUGACUGGAUGCUAGACCACAGAAAUACAGCUAAGGUACCAUUGCCUGGAUCACCUGUGGGUCACGACCCCUUUGACAAACCUCUGUCUCCAAACAGAUUUACAUUAUGAUUCGUAACAUAGUCACGAAGUAGCAAGGAAAAUAAUUUUAUGGUGUGGGGGAGGGUCACCACAACACAAGGAACUGCAUUAAAGUGUUGUAGUGUUAGGAAGGUUGAGAAC